GCUGAGAGGUUGAUUGCCAUACUCAUGGAAGUACAUACACUGUAGAAAUCUUAAAAGAAUAAACACUUUACGGGAUCAAGAAUGAUGAACAAUUCCCCUGGAAGCAGAGAAUCAAACCAGGGAAGGAGGCAGGAAGUCAGGAAAAAAUGAACAUGAAGGGUAAAGAGACAGAUGGUGAAGAGGAA